rnacentral:rRNA from 1 species
GAAUUCGCCCUUAGAGUUUGAUUCUGGCUCAGGACGAACGCUGGCGGCGUGCUUAACACAUGCAAGUCGAACGAGGAUGUUGGCUUCGGCUGACAUUCGAGUGGCGGACGGGUGAGUAACGCGUGAGCAAUCUGUCCCACAGAGGGGGAUAACAACUGGAAACAGUUGCUAAUACCGCAUAAGACCACACUGUCGCAUGACAGAGAGGUCAAAGGAGCAAUCCGCUGUGGGGUGAGCUCGCGUCCGAUUAGUUAGUUGGUGAGGUAACGGCCCACCAAGACAGCGAUCGGUAGCCGACCUGAGAGGGUGAUCGGCCACAUUGGGACUGAGACACGGCCCAGACUCCUACGGGAGGCAGCAGUGGGGAAUAUUGGGCAAUGGGCGAAAGCCUGACCCAGCAACGCCGCGUGAGGGAAGAAGGUUUUCGGAUUGUAAACCUCUGUCCUAAGGGACGAAGGAAGUGACGGUACCUUAGGAGGAAGCCCCGGCUAACUACGUGCCAGCAGCCGCGGUAAUACGUAGGGGGCGAGCGUUGUCCGGAAUGACUGGGCGUAAAGGGCGUGUAGGCGGCAGUAUAAGUCCGGAGUGAAAGUCCUGCUUUCAAGGUGGGAAUUGCUUUGGAGACUGUACAGCUUGAGUGCGGAAGAGGUAAGUGGAAUUCCCAGUGUAGCGGUGAAAUGCGUAGAGAUUGGGAGGAACACCAGUGGCGAAGGCGACUUACUGGGCCGUAACUGACGCUGAGGCGCGAAAGCGUGGGGAGCGAACAGGAUUAGAUACCCUGGUAGUCCACGCGGUAAACGAUGAAUGCUAGGUGUAGGGGGUAUUCGACCCCUUCUGUGCCGGAGUAAACACAAUAAGCAUUCCGCCUGGGGAGUACGGCCGCAAGGUUGAAACUCAAAGGAAUUGACGGGGGCCCGCACAAGCAGCGGAGCAUGUGGUUUAAUUCGACGCAACGCGAAGAACCUUACCAGGUCUUGACAUCGAUCCAAAGCUGUAGAGAUACAGUGUGACUUCGGUCAGGAGAAGACAGGUGGUGCAUGGUUGUCGUCAGCUCGUGUCGUGAGAUGUUGGGUUAAGUCCCGCAACGAGCGCAACCCUUAUUGUCAGUUACUAACGGGUAAGGCCGAGGACUCUGACGAGACUGCCGGGGACAACUCGGAGGAAGGUGGGGACGACGUCAAAUCAUCAUGCCCCUUAUGACCUGGGCUACACACGUGCUACAAUGGUGGUAACAAAGAGGAGCGAGCCCGUAAGGGUAAGCGGAUCUCAAAAAAGCCAUCUCAGUUCGGAUUGUGGGCUGCAACCCGCCCACAUGAAGUUGGAGUUGCUAGUAAUCGCGAAUCAGCAUGUCGCGGUGAAUACGUUCCCGGGCCUUGCACUCACCGCCCGUCA